GUAAACUUCCGGUACAUGUGCUUGAUAGACACUAACAAUAAUAUCAUGCGCUACCGAGAAUAUUUUGAAAUAUCUAUAUGUUAAAUAAUUCAAAAUACUACAUAAAUUUCAUAACAUAUUGUGGUGAAGCACAAAUCAGAAGACGAUGGAUCAAGGUAAAGAUGCAAGUGGUCCAGCUAAAUCACAGACGAUGAUUUAUAUUUGUGGAGAAUGCCAUCAAGAGAAUGAAGUUAAGGCCCGGGAUCCCAUCCGUUGUAGAGAAUGUGGAUAUAGAAUCAUGUAUAAAAAGAGAACAAAAAGAUUGAUUGUAUUUGAUGCUAGAUGAAGAUUGUAUUGUUCUACCGAAGAUUAUAGAGAGACAAGGGAGCGGAUUUUAUAAAUAUUGUAUAGACACAUUCAAUGACCUCAUUAUCAUUAUGUAAAUAAUCACAAAAUAAUAAAAUUAUGAUAUUGA